rnacentral:tRNA from 2 species
GCGGUCGUGGUGUAGUCUGGCCAAGCAUGGUGGCCUUUCGAGCCGCCGACCCGGGUUCAAAUCCCGGCGACCGCA